GAUGAACGCUGGCGGCGUGCCUAAUACAUGCAAGUCGAGCGAACGGACGAGAAGCUUGCUUCUCUGAUGUUAGCGGCGGACGGGUGAGUAACACGUGGAUAACCUACCUAUAAGACUGGGAUAACUUCGGGAAACCGGAGCUAAUACCGGAUAAUAUUUUGAACCGCAUGGUUCAAAAGUGAAAGACGGUCUUGCUGUCACUUAUAGAUGGAUCCGCGCUGCAUUAGCUAGUUGGUAAGGUAACGGCUUACCAAGGCAACGAUGCGUAGCCGACCUGAGAGGGGGAUCGGCCACACUGGAACUGAGACACGGUCCAGACUCCUACGGGAGGCAGCAGUAGGGAAUCUUCCGCAAUGGGCGAAAGCCUGACGGAGCAACGCCGCGUGAGUGAUGAAGGUCUUCGGAUCGUAAAACUCUGUUAUUGGGGAAGAACAUAUGUGUAAGUAACUGUGCACAUCUUGACGGUACCUAAUCAGAAAGCCACGGCUAACUACGUG
rnacentral:rRNA from 1 species